rnacentral:rRNA from 1 species
GUUAAAAAGCUCGUAGUUGGAUUUCUUCGUUGGUGCGACCGCCCGUCGCCUUCUAGGUGCAUGGGACAGGUUUGCGUUGACGAAUCUUGCCACGAACUGCUCUGACCUUCAUUGGUUGGGGUUCAGGGACUGGCUCGUUUACUUUGAGAAAAAUAGAGUGUUCAAAGCAGGCGUUUGCCUUGAAUAAGUUAGCAUGGAAUAAUGAUAUAGGACUUUGGUUCUAUUUUGUUGGUUGUUCGAGGACCGAAGUAAUGAUUGAUAGGGACAGUUGGGGGCAUCAGUAUUCUGAAGCGAGAGGUGAAAUUCUUGGACCUUUGGGAGACUAACAACUGCGAAAGCAUUUGCCAAGGAUGUUCUCUUCAAUCAAGAACGAAAGUUGGGGGAUCGAAGACGAUCAGAUACCGUCGUAGUCUCAACUAUAAACUAUGCCGACUAGGGAUUGGUGGACGUUUUAUUUCGACUUCAUCAGCACCUUAUGAGAAAUCAAAGUAUUUGGGUUCCGGGGGGAGUAUGGUCGCAAGGCUGAAACUUAAAGGAAUUGAC